GGACGGUUGAAGGAGUCAGUCCUUGGUCCUCAACACAAAAUACCUUGGACGAUAGAAGGAGUCGAUCCUUGGUCCUCAACAAAAAGUGUCUCGGACGGUCGAAGGAGCCAGUCCUUGGUCCUCAACACAAAAUGACUUGGACAAUAGAAGGAGCCGAUCCUUGGUCCUGAACAAGAAGUGCCUCGGACGGUCGAAGGAGCCAGUCUUUUGGUCCUUAACACAAAGUGCCUUAGAUGAUGGAAGGAAGAGGUCCUCGGUCCUCAACAUAAAGUGCCUUGGAUGGUCAAUGAAAUAGGUCUUUGGUCCUCAACACAAAAUGUUUUGGACGAUCAAAGGGGCAAGUCCUUGAUCUCCAAUAAAAAGUGCAUUGGAUGAUAAAAAGUCAUAAUCCUUAGUCCUCAAUGUAUAUGAAGAUUUGCAAUUUUAAGUUUGUCCAUAAGUAUAUAUUUCCUGAACUUAUAAAAUAAUUGCAACAUGAAGAUUUAACCUCCAUACAAAAAAAAAAUUUUUAAAAAAUCUCAAACCUCAAAAUCCUUG
rnacentral:lncRNA from 1 species